rnacentral:rRNA from 1 species
GUGAGUCAUCGAAUCUUUGAACGCAUCUUGCGCUCCUUGGUAUUCCGAGGAGCAUGCCUGUUUGAGUGUCAUUUAACUUCUCAACCCCAUCGAUUUCUGAUGUGGCUUGGACAUGGGGGUUGUUUUUGCAGGCCUCUGAAUGAGGUCGGCUCCCCUGAAAUGUAUUAGUGGUAUCUGAGCAGGACUACUAUGCCAUUAGGUGUGAUAAAUUAUCUAUGCCUGUGGUAUUCUGCAUGAACAGAUUGUGCUGCUUCUAACAAACAUAUUUGACAAAUUUGACCUCAAAUCAGGUAGGACUACCCGCUGAACUUAAGCAUAUCAAUAAGCGGAGG